UACAGAGGGUGCGAGCGUUGUUCGGAAUUAUUGGGCGUAAAGGGCGCGUAGGCGGUGCGGUAAGUCACCUGUGAAAUCUCCUGGCUCAACUGGGAGCUUGCAGGCGAAACUGCCGUGCUGGAGUGUGGGAGAGGUGAGUGGAAUUCCCGGUGUAGCGGUGAAAUGCGCAGAUAUCAGGAGGAACACCGGUGGCGAAGGCGGUGGGCUGGGCCGGAACUGACGCUGAGGAGCGAAAGCGUGGGGAGCGAACAGG
rnacentral:rRNA from 1 species